UUCUAAGUUUUACUGGCUUUGUAGGUGGUGUUCCCUCUGCCAGAACCACUUCUGCCUGCUUUGUCUCCUGUAAACUCCUACGCUGCCACUAACUGUCAACUCAAUGCAAAGUCCCUCCAUGCAGCCUUCCCGGAUGCCUGGGGGCUGCAGUGGGAGGAGGCUGCACUGAUCCAGGCAGGUCUGGGCUGGAUUCCCCUCUCUGCUACUGCUCAGAAUAUGGCCUGUGAAAAUCACCUGCUUGGAACUUGUCCAGAUCCCUGGAGCCACCCUGCCUGUCACUUACAGAGAGGCAUCUACAAACACUGAAGGCUGUAGAAGGAACCAAACUAGAGACUGCAUCACCAUCCCUGGCACGGAGCAGACUAUGCGGAAUGAAUGAAUGAGUGACUCCCUGAGCUCAGCAACUGGGAUUAAGGCAAAGAGGGCCACCCCUGGCCAGGAAUGUUUGGAAUGCCCUUCCCAGGUGGAGAAAGUGCAGGCUGGAGGGCAUCACGGUGGUGGCAGCGCCCAUGUGGUAUCCACACUCCUGCCUGGGGAGUAAUCACUUCCUGGGGAAGGGGGCAAUAAAGGCGUCUGCCCAGGGCUGGGGAGUCCCCGCUUCUCUCCCAGGUGCUCCCACCCAGCCUGUCCUCCCCGAGUUCCUGUCUCGGGCUGGCCAGGCUGACGGUUGGGACCACAGAAGGGGCCACAUCCAGGCCUGGCCACCAGGAGUCUUUCAGGAGGAGAGGGACCUGCUUAUAAAGAGUAAAUCAAUAAAAUCUGAUUAA